rnacentral:lncRNA from 1 species
GCAGCGUUUCUAUUUGGUGAGGUGAGUUUAUUUGUGUCAUUUGAAGAAUAUCUGCCUUGCCCUGGACUGACAGAAGCUAAGACUGGACUCUGCUCUACACCCAGAGUGGGCAGGCAGAACUGACUGGGAGGACCUAUUUCAGGUUCAGACCUGAGGGAAAGUAUUCAAAGUCCAGCAAACUCGAGAACUCCCUCAUGCACUUCCCCU